UUUAAAAAAAGCUGUAUUUUCUUAAUUUUUAAAAACAUUUUAACAAAAUUGACAUGUCUAACAUGUGGCAGAGAUGUGAAUAUUCUGGGGUUGACUGCUUGGAGAAAAAGUCAUUUUAUUGCAGUUAUAUGGAUUAAAGAAAUAUUUACUUCUAAUGAGAUAUGGUGGGACCUACACUCUUGAAAGUGGCUGUGAUGGAAUUUUCUCACCACUAGGUGGCGCGUUACCCUUGUCUUGCUCUGAAAGUUUGAAACGUACUCUUUGGGAUUCCCCCUUUCCCAAAGAACAAAAGUUUUCGCUUGGAACUUUCCAGUCUGUUCAUGAAUUUCAAUGGAUGUUCUGACGUCUCUUCAGUUUGCCUCAAAGCCGGUCUCCUCUCUUUGACCCUCCCGCUCUUCUUUUAGAAGGACAGACAUCAUCCACCUUCUCCUAAGUCGCCUUUUCACUUCUCUAAUUCUUUCCACACAACAUGUAUUUCACACAGUAGCUUAAUCUGUUCUUUCUAAUCCACUGUUCCCCCCUCCUCCCCAAUUUAUCUCCCGCAAGUUCUUUUUUUUUUGCUUUUUCUCUCUCACCAUUCAUCCCUUCUGUUUCAGUUUCUCCCUCUGUCUCUCCCCCUUCCUCCUUCUCAGCCACCUUUCUCUCCAACUCUCCCUGCUUCUCCCUGGCUUUGGGUAACCUGAGUGGGCCGUGAGGCAGUCAUGCAGAGCGCAGCAGGGCCUGGUCAGCCUGUAAUUAGCAGCUGUCAGAGAGAGGCAGAGUCCACCCGCAACCUGGGUGGCAUGAGCAGUGAGGGAAGGAGGGAGAGAGGAUAGGGGAGGAGUAAAGGCCGAGCUAGCGCCAUGUCCACAACAAACGCACCCAGACCUGGACUUCUGCAUCCUCCCAAUAUCUCUCUGACUAAAAUAGGAACAACUUCAGGGCCUGAAGGAAGAACUCCUGCUUUCGAGAGUGACAUGUCUCAGAUUUUUUUUCUUUGUUCGAACAAAGAUGCAACAAAGGAGUCAGAUCUCCAUCAUUUCAAUAGUUUUUGACAGAUCAGAGUCAAACUACAACACAAUUGAAUGAAGUAAGAAAUUAUUCGAAUCAAAGCCUUUUGUUAGAGGAGGAAGCAAAUGUGAAAAAUGAUCAUUUGAAGUUUUCAGAACAGGUCGUUUCUUAACACCUACAUUUACAAUAUUUCAAGCUAUGAAAAAAACAUUCAAUCAUGUUUUUGCUUUUAUAUAGAUGCUAAAUUAAGGUCAUUCUGGAGCAAAGUGGUUUGCACUAAUAGGCAAACCGGGUUCAUGUUUGUUUUACAUCUCUUUUAGUAUAUAAUGGCAAACGCAAAAAUAAGAAUUGUGUUCUCCAACUUUACAAAAAAACUUUGAUUGAAAAUACUCUUUGAAAUGUAUUUUGGCUUUUUUCCAAACUUCUGCUUUCUUCUACUUCAACAACUGACUGAAGUCAAUCAGUGUCUAAUUAGAGACAUUCUAACAAAUGACUAACACCUGUCUGUAUAUGGUUACAGGCUACGUCAGUAAGGGAAACCAAGCUUUUAGAUCUAGUGAACUGUAAAAAGCUAGGAUAUAAGAAAAAAAAACAACUAUCCCAAAACUUUAAACAAAACUUCCAGCUUGCAUCUAAAUAUUUCUAAGAAAGUGCAAUGGAAAAGAUUAAAGAGGAAACGAGAAGGUUUUGCGUGAGUGGCUACAAAGGUUAAAGUCUAGCAGUAUACCAUCGACCCAUGCGUCUGCCAGGGGCACCUGAAGAGGGGCAAACAUUUAUGACAAAGAAAAGAGCGGGAGAGAAGAAAAAACAUCAACAGCCUGGCCAAGUGCACCAAGGUCUGCAGCAAGUGGCGUUGUAGGGCCCUUGGUGACAACGGAGAGCAGGAGUCCUUCAAGCAGCAGCAUGGUGGUAAACCGCACACCUCAUAGACACCGCCAGUCUGCUCUGAUGGCCAACCAGCAGAGGAAAACACGCUGAGGAAGCUGGAGUGUUAGCUGGGACACACAAGACGAGGGCAGGAAGAAGGCCAGGAGCAGGAACCAAGACUAAGCAAAAAAUCCCAAAAAAGGUCUAAAACAAAAGAGUGACUUGCUUAAUCUAAAAAUAACGAACAUUUCAGGGCAUAAACAUUGGCAUACUCCUGAUAAACGUGCAGAACUUUAACCUGAUGAAGACCAACUUUUACUAAUGAUUUUCAACUUCCAAUUACAAUCUUCUACAGUUUUUUUAAAAAAAUGUUUUUAUUCACAAGUGUGUAUUGCCAGUUUUUGCGUUAACCUAAUUCAUGUCAGUGUUUGAAAAGAUCCUUGAUAGAUUUUUUUUAAAACAUCAGAAAACGGUGGCUUUUAAAGUCACAAAUGUGCAAUCACAAAUGACAAGAAAGAAAAGAAAUUCUUAUUACAAAACAGGCACUGAUUUUAAAAUGAUAUACCUGUUCAAAUUUUACUCUGUAUUCUAUUUAUAUUAUUUUGCAUACUGUCUGCUACCUGUGUUUUAUAAAUUUAUGUGUACUGCCUAUCUUUUCAACUCAGUUUUAUUUCUGUUGACAUCAGGGAAUUUAGCCUGUGGCUAUAAUCUGGCAUAUUUACGUGUGUUUUAAUGAUCAUUAAUAUGCAUUUUCUCUUUCUGAAUAAAGUUAAUCCUGGAAGCAAAAUUAUUUUAAAUUUAAAUGAGACGAAACUUAAGACAACUAUUACAUAAGCAUUUUGGUUAAUGGUGACACAUGAUGCAUGUAUUCUAGCAUGUUCCAACUCCAACAACAAAUAGUCACAAUGAACAUUCAGUUUCAACACAAACGUUUUCUAGCGUUGCUUGCGGCUGUUAUUUAGGCUAUGUUUAUGAUGUUUCCAUCAUCUCUGAACCUGUGGUCUCAACAACCACUAGUUAGUCAACCCUGGGAAGACUUGCUUUAUGUUGAAUGAAAGAGCUCAGUCAAAGCUUGCUUUUUAAAUGGCGCACCAAUCACAAACAAACACAACAGCUGACCCAAAAGUUUAGCUAAUUGCCAGCCACUUGCCCGACCUCCACAUGUGGGACUGUUCAUUCACGCUACACCAGAAGACAUGCAGACGGAACUUCACACAGACCCACACACUGCUACAAAAAAACAGGGAAGAAAUACAGUUUCUGAAUGAGAUCCUGAUGCUUUCAUUGUGAAACACACUGAACAUCCAGUCUUUGUUCUUCACAGCAUAUUUCUCAUUUAAAUCCAAAUGAAAAGCUUUUGUUUUUCACACUCAAAGCUUCAGUCUGGCUGGAAGAAGAGAAUUAGUGUUAGGUCACAGGUGCCAGUUAGCCAAUCCACUUUGAACAAAAAUAAAAGGAAAAGUAGACACAAGUCACACCUAAUGCAGAGUAAUCAGAUUAUGAAAACAUGAGGCAUUUUAGCUUGGAGUUACAUAUUCUUUGUUAAAUCAAAGAGUUGGACAACAGGGGUUAAAAUGAAAUAACAGCAACACUUUCAAGAUGUCUAACAUAAAUGCAUGGUUGCCAUACCUUCAUAAGCAGUGUUACUACUCAACUUCAACGAGAAGCCUUCUGUAAACUUCAAAGAUCGCAAUAAACCUGUCCAAAAAGGGGAUUUAGAGACUUUACCAGUGUUUUCCGGGACUUUGACUUGUUGGCUCGUUUCAUUCAAGGUUUCUUCACAGUUGUGCUUUGAGCUUAAACUUCAAAACAGAAGCCUCGACGUAUGACGAGUUUCUUUCAUUUCAAAUUCUGAUGCAUAAAGAAAAUCUGUUUCACAUAGUGUGCUGAACAGUGCUUCACAUUGUGGUACAGUUUUUAAUCUGUUGUGUAGAAAAUUGUCCCUCUUCCAGUGCGAACCUACCAUUGUUGGGGUGGUAUAAAAAAGACUGAGCGUCGAUUCCUAUUGAACCCUCUACGUUUUGAAUGAGUCUGGUCCCAAAAGCUUGGCAUAAAUGCCCAGCAUGGCACUGCGAUCCUUCCUGCUGCAAAAAGGCUGAGAAAUCCAGUCUCAUAACCUCGUUCUUUCAUGCCUCAGCCCUCCGUCUGUUCUUCCCUGACACUCACUGAAAGACUGAGUGUCUCCCCUCAUGAGUUGCUCUUCCGUUGUCUCAUGCUUUCCCUAAACUUCAGUUAGCAGGUGCAUUCGUUUGUGAGUUCCCCCACUGACCCACAGAAAAAAGAAAUGGAAAAAAAAGAAAAAAGAAAAACGACCUCCCUACUGGAAUACAAACUGGUAAAAAGCCAACCAGUGGUGAAGACAAGCACAGCAUCAGUACAAAAAGGUACAGAAGGAGAAAGAAGAGGAGGAGUGAGCAACGGUGUGGUCCUAAAAAAAAUAACAGCUGCAACCGCCACAUUGUCGUUCAAACAUUUGUUUCAUGUUAAAUACAGCUGCAGGUCACUUCACAGCAUGGGAACCACAAAACCAGCACCUUUUCGGACCCUCGCUCGCAUAUUCUCCAUUCUCAGCCCCAACAAACCCUUCAUUUGUGACGACUCGGUUCAACUUUUUUGCUGAAUCCAAAUACCAUCCUUCCAUUUCUACAAAAAAACAAAACAAAAGUCAACAUGUUUGAGUUGGUCCUGUUUUGAAAUGUUUGUUGUAAAUGAAACUUGCUGAUUUGACAAAAAAAGAAGGCACUUCUGUUCAGAAGCAUUAGCAGAGAUUUCUCCGGACACUAGUUUCCUCCCACAUUUAUGAAAAACAUCACAUUUGUUUAAAGACUCUAAACCAGCCAUCAAGUAAUUGUUAAAUUAAAAGAAUAUAGAUAUUUAUAAAAUGUUUAAAACAAAAUCAUUUGCAAACGUGCGAUUUUUGACUGGAAUUCAAAAUGUCACUAAACAGCGCAAAGACAGGUCCAAUUAACCACUUUCAUUUAAGUGUUACAGGGCUGUUCUGUACAUUAAUUUGAUGCCUUGGUGGACUGAGAAUGGGAUAUUUCAAUCUUGUGUUAAUUUAAAUGUAUUUUUUCAAUGCUUAAAGAAGCUUGUAUUGAUGAUUUUUCAAUCUUGGUCAAUAAUGAUACUAAUAUUGGCUCAGAAAUUGAGGGGGGCAAAGCUUUUUGCUGUGGGGCCCCCUUUAGCUCAGCCCCUGGCAAGAACAGUGAAAUUCACUACCAACCUUUAGAGCAUUUGGCAGGGAUAUCAGAACACGUGCGAUCCUGUACAUCCAACAUAAACAUAUCUGAAGCUAUCACAUAAAAACAAAA